AACGCGGCGGGACGGUGGGGACGCGGGAGACCGUGGAGGCCCAACCGUGCCCUAGUGCGCGGCGCCCGCUCUCAGCCGGAGCUCGAUCGGCGUUCUCGGAACCGGCGGCGGCGACGGCAGCGCUCCGAGCCACGCUCCCCCAAGCGCGGGGCCGGUGGUGCGGUCUUACCCGCGCCUGCGCGAGCGCGGGAGCUGCCGGGAACCGGCGCCGUCCGGGACCUGUGGCUGAGGGCGGUGAGAGUGGUGGGAGCCGAGCUACGGCUCCUGAAUAGGCAUGGGCCCCGGGCCGGCCCCGAGUAGCUCGCCUGGAGCAGCCGCUAGCAAAAACAGCCUUGCCAAAGCUCGGCGACGCCUCUCUCCCGUCUCCGCUACCAGAAAGAACGAGCGCACCUCAUAUAAAAACAAAACAAAAAACCACCAAAACCCAAACUUGGUUACCUGGCGUGUUCACCGUGGGGAAGAAUGAGGGGAAGCCUCAUCGCAGGCUACGACCUCCUCGUGAGGAGUAGCGAAGGGGUAGCUCCGAUCUCUGCUCUCUGCGACCAGUGACAGAACCCGAGGGAACGGCUGGAGGUGUGUCAGGGGAGAUUUAGGCAAAUAUAUCCGGAAAAGAUGCUUCCUCCAGAGGAUGGUCGGGCACUAAACAGGCUCCCGGUGUAGUGGUUACGGUCCCAAGGCUGGCAGAGCUCAAGGAGUGUUCAGACAAGGCUCCCAUGGUCAGGGUGGGAUUGUUGGUGUGUGCUGUGCAGGAGUUGGAUUGGCUGAUACCAUGGAUCCCUUCCCACUCAGAAGAUUCUGUGGUUUCUAGAAUAAAAACAAAAACCCUUUUUCACAGAUCUGGGCAGAAGAGGAUGGAAACAUUAGAGAUGCAAUCAUUUGUUAUCAGCAUCACUCUGGCAGUGCUGGCAUUGAAUGUUAUUUGUAAGUCUGAAAAGGACACAAACCCUGUCGCCAGCAGAGGCAUGUGAGCAAUACUGGCUGAGGCAUCUUGGUACGUGAACAGCAUCAUUCUGCACUGGGCAGGAAGAAUUGAUCCAACAUGCCUCUGCAGAUCUUAUGCAGGAGUGUCCACUGAACCCAGCGCUUCAUUCCAGAUGUGGCUGACGGAAGAAAACCUCAUGCAAAGUGCAAGACUGACACCUGGAGGGACUGCGAGGGGCAGACAGGGGACCUGGAGCAGCCACAGAUCCUGCAACACAGCUGGGUGGGGAAAGCUCAGAGGAGGUGGCUGAUCCCAGGAUUUGAAAGUAUGCUUUUCUAGUGAAGGCAUGCUUUCAAUAUGCUUCUGUCUCCCCUUUUCCUUUAAUAAAUAAAAAUACAGAUUUCUA